CUACGGGACGCAGCAGUGAGGAAUAUUGGACAAUGGGCGCAAGCCUGAUCCAGCCAUGCCGCGUGCAGGAAUGACGGCCCUAUGGGUUGUAAACUGCUUUUAUAUGGGGAUAAACCCUUGGACGUGUCCGAGGCUGAAGGUACCAUAUGAAUAAGGAUCGGCUAACUCCGUGCCAGCAGCCGCGGUAAUACGGAGGAUCCAAGCGUUAUCCGGAUUUAUUGGGUUUAAAGGGUGCGCAGGCGGGCUAUUAAGUUAGUGGUGAAAUCUCUCGGCUCAACCGAGAAACUGCCAUUGAUACUGAUAGUCUAGAAUACAGAUGGGGUAGGCGGAAUGUAGCAUGUAGCGGUGAAAUGCAUAGAGAUGCUACAGAACACCAAUCGCGAAGGCAGCUUACCAAACUGAUAUUGACGCUCAUGCACGAAAGCGUGGGGAGCGAACAGGAUUAGAUACCCCGGUAGUC
rnacentral:rRNA from 1 species